CCAGCGUUUACGCUACGAAAACACGACCGGCUGUUUUAACCUGACACCCUCAGGUGUUCUUCGGUAAACUGGACUACCUGACAGGAGGACCCGAGGCCCCGCUGCACUUUUUCGGAUGCAGCAGCAGACUGAACCAGGACUGUAAACCUGCUCCAUCAUCUCAUCUUUGCAGAUGUCCAUUUACAAAGCACCAACAACUCAAAGGAGCUGCCCUCAGAUUCAGACCUCAGCACCACCCAGUGACAGCAGACAGAUCAUCCUAUAGCUUCACUCUUUGUAGUAACUCCAUAAUGAACUGAUGAAAACAGUACAAAGGUUAAAGUACCACAUGUGCUGUCAGUGAAAGCUGCAGCUGUUUAAAGAUAAAGUUAAAAGGAUGAAUCACCCAUGUAACUGUGUCACUGUAUAUCAGCAUCAACAGGACCUGAGUUUGGUGUUUCAGAGAGCUGUUGUCUAGGUCUGUGUGCUGUUAUUGCUCAGUCUGACCGGACGAUGGACAGACUCAAGUUUGACUUUGAAACAAACUGUGUUGUUAAACAGUUUCAUGGUUCAAAAAACAAAACAAUCAAAAACACUUUUUUCAUACUUGUGUUAAGUUUUGUAUAGAAAUGAGACAAAAUUGAUUGUGAGGUUAAAUAUGAUAGAAACAGCUCACACUGACAUCCAUCCUGAUCAAAUAUGUGUCAUGAAGCCUGUUUGCAGUUAUUUUCACUGCUUUCCACUCUGGAUGUUGUUUCUGUUCAGCUGUAAG